CAAUUAUUACCAAAUUAUCCUUUUUUUCUUCCUUUAAGUCUGACUGCCAGUAUCAUAUGUUAAUAAUCAUAUAACACACCAAGAUGUUCUCACCUCCAAACUUGUGUUUGAAUUAUGUUUUCUGCUCCAACCAACCAGCUGAGAGUCUGAUUUCCACUAAUAUAGACCAAUAUUGUAUUCUAAAGAAGAGGAGAUUUCAACAUCCUUUCACUUUAUUUACAGAGGACUUAAUUAAUAGGUUAAUUUACUGAUUGUUUGCGAAUGUGUGGCUUACUUGGGUCAUCAGCCACUGCGGUAAAUUUAUGGUUGUUAAACCCAUCAUUAAAUUUACUCAGAUAAACAUUGACAGGUUUGAAACGUAUCUUCCCUGUUGCAAACUUAAUUCAGGUUUCAUUAUGGGUCAAGUUUAAUUAAAACAUCUCAUAAAUGAAUUGCUCUUUUCGCUAGCACAUACGCUGCUAUUUCUAUUUGCGAACUGAUUACAUACAAUUUUAAGAU